ACAUUUAUGAUAUAACCAAGGUCAUUAGUCCAUUUGUGACCUGACUAAGCUAAUUAUGUCAUAAAUGAACUAAAUAAAAUAAAGAUUACAUUUUGGAGGAUAAUUAGCAAGCGAAGAAGAUGAUGAUGUUGAAGAAGAAGAUGAAGUAGUAGUAGUAGUAGUAGUAGUAGUAGUAGUAGUAGUAGUAGUAGUAGUAGUAGUAGUAGAAGAAGAAGAAGAAGAAGAAGAAGAAGAAGAAGAAGAAGGAGAAAGGAGAAGAAAAAAAUAAGA
rnacentral:lncRNA from 1 species